AAAGGGAAUCGGAACACAGGUGCUGCAUGGCUGUCGUCAGCUCGUGUCGUGAGAUGUUGGGUUAAGUCCCGCAACGAGCGCAACCCUUAUCAUUAGUUGCUACGCAAGGGCACUCUAAUGAGACUGCCGGUGACAAACCGGAGGAAGGUGGGGAUGACGUCAAGUCCUCAUGGCCCUUAUGGGUAGGGCUUCACACGUCAUACAAUGGUCGGUACAGAGGGUUGCCAAGCCGCGAGGCGGAGCCAAUCCCGCAAAGCCGAUCGUAGUCCGGAUUGUUCUCUGCAACUCGAGAGCAUGAAGUCGGAAUCGCUAGUAAUCGCAGGUCAGCAUACUGCGGUGAAUACGUUCCCGGGUCUU
rnacentral:rRNA from 1 species